UAGCGGCGGACGGGUGAGUAACACGUGGGCAACCUGCCCCUUAGACUGGGAUAACUCCGGGAAACCGGAGCUAAUACCGRAUAAUCCCUUUCUCCACCUGGAGAGAGGGUGAAAGAUGGCUUCGGCUAUCACUAAGGGAUGGGCCCGCGGCGCAWUAGCUAGUUGGUAAGGUAACGGCUUACCAAGGCAACGAUGCGUASCCSACCUGAGAGGGUGAUCGGCCACACUGGGACUGAGACACGGCCCAGACUCCUACGGGAGGCAGCAGUAGGGAAUCUUCCGCARUGGACGAAAGUCUGACGGAGCAACGCCGCGUGAGUGAGGAAGGCCUUCGGGUCGUAAAGCUCUGUUGUGAGGGAARAAGCGGUACCGUUCGAAUAGGGCGGURCCUUGACGGUACCUCACCAGAAAGCCACGGCUAACUACGUGCCAGCAGCCGCGGUAAUACGUAGGUGGCAAGCGUUGUCCGGAAUUAUUGGGCGUAAAGCGCGCGCAGGCGGCUUCUUAAGUCUGAUGUGAAAUCUCGGGGCUCAACCCCGAGCGGCCAUUGGAAACUGGGGAGCUUGAGUGCAGAAGAGGAGAGUGGAAUUCCACGUGUAGCGGUGAAAUGCGUAGAGAUGUGGAGGAACACCAGUGGCGAAGGCGACUCUCUGGUCUGUAACUGACGCUGAGGCGCGAAAGCGUGGGGAGCAAACAGGAUUAGAUACUCUGGUAGUCCACGCCGUAGACGAUGAGUGCUAGGUGUUAGGGGUUUCGAUGCCCGUAGUGCCGAAGUUAACACAUUAAGCACUCCGCCUGGAGAGUACGGCCGCAAGGCUGAAACUCAAAGGAAUUGACGGGGACCCGCACAAGCAGUGGAGCAUGUGGUUUAAUUCGAAGCAACGCGAAGAACCUUACCAGGUCUUGACAUCCUUUGACCACCCAAGAGAUUGGGCUUCCUCUUCGGGGGCAAAGUGACAGGUGGUGCAUGGUUGUCGUCAGCUCGUGUCGUGAGAUGUUGGGUUAAGUCCCGCAACGAGCGCAACCCUUGAUCUUAGUUGCCAGCAUUGAGUUGGGCACUCUAAGGUGACUGCCGGUGACAAACCGGAGGANGGNGGGGAUGACGUCAAAUCAUCAUGCCCCUUAUGAC
rnacentral:rRNA from 1 species